rnacentral:hammerhead_ribozyme from 17 species
AGGUGGUUGGGGUAGUGGUUAAGCCCCCUGAUGAGCCCUUUUGCAAGGGCGAAACCACCC